GGUGAGUAACGCGUGGGAAUCUACCCAACUCUACGGAAUAACUCAGGGAAACUUGUGCUAAUACCGUAUACGCCCUUCGGGGGAAAGAUUUAUCGGAGUUGGAUGAGCCCGCGUUGGAUUAGCUAGUUGGUGGGGUAAAGGCCUACCAAGGCGACGAUCCAUAGCUGGUCUGAGAGGAUGAUCAGCCACAUUGGGACUGAGACACGGCCCAAACUCCUACGGGAGGCAGCAGUGGGGAAUAUUGGACAAUGGGCGCAAGCCUGAUCCAGCCAUGCCGCGUGUGUGAUGAAGGCCUUAGGGUUGUAAAGCACUUUCACCGGAGAAGAUAAUGACGGUAUUCCGGAGAAGAAGCCCCGGCUAA
rnacentral:rRNA from 1 species